rnacentral:rRNA from 1 species
AGCGAACGCUGGCGGCAGGCCUAACACAUGCAAGUCGAACGAACCUUUCGGGGUUAGUGGCGGACGGGUGAGUAACACGUGGGAACGUGCCUUUAGGUUCGGAAUAACUCAGGGAAACUUGUGCUAAUACCGAACGUGCCCUUCGGGGGAAAGAUUUAUCGCCUUUAGAGCGGCCCGCGUCUGAUUAGCUAGUUGGUUGAGGUAAUGGCUCACCAAGGCGACGAUCAGUAGCUGGUCUGAGAGGAUGGUCCGCCACAUUGGGACUGAGACACGGCCCAAACUCCUACGGGAGGCAGCAGUGGGGAAUCUUGCGCAAUGGGCGAAAGCCUGACGCAGCCAUGCCGCGUGAAUGAUGAAGGUCUUAGGAUUGUAAAAUUCUUUCACCGGGGACGAUAAUGACGGUACCCGGAGAAGAAGCCCCGGCUAACUACGUG